rnacentral:tRNA from 1 species
GUCGUUGUAGUAUAGUGGUGAGUAUCCCUGCCUGUCACGCGGGAGACCCGGGUUCGAUCCCCGGCAACGGCG